UACAGAGGAUGCAAGCGUUAUCCGGACUGAUUGGGCGUAAAGCGUCUGUAGGUGGCUUUUUAAGUCCGCCGUCAAAUCCCAGGGCUCAACUCUGGACAGGCGGUGGAAACUACCAAGCUGGAGUACGGUAGGGGCAGAGGGAAUUUCCGGUGGAGCGGUGAAAUGCGUAGAUAUCGUUUGGAACGCCGACGGCGAAAGCAGCUGACUGGGGGUGAUCUGACGCUGAGACACGAAAGCCAGGGGAGCGAACGGG
rnacentral:rRNA from 1 species